GUGAAAUGUUUAGGACCACUU
rnacentral:ncRNA from 2 species